GCUUGUGGAUCAAAUGAUUAUCAGAAGACCAAGGAGUCAAGAAGAAAUAGCUACAGAAGAUAGAAAGGACCAAGUUUAAUCUUCCUGUAAAUUCUAAAUCCUGCAAUGUACACAUCAGACUGAACAUACAAGAUUAAAAGGUCUUUCUCGGAUCUAGGAGAGAUGAAAUCAGAGCCUGAUGUCUUCAAGUUCUGAAAAGAGACAUUUACCGUCUAUUCUUUCUGAAGCCUCCUGCCUGGAGGCUUCACUUACAUAACAAGAACCCUGGUCUUCACAACCUCCCUUAUGUUACUUUGGGCAUUUCUUUCUUCUGAUUUCAAGUCUUUAGACAAAGCUUAACUCUUUCAAUCAAUUGUCAAUUAGAAAAUCUUUGAAUCCACUUAUGACUUGUAAACACACCAUCUCUUCAAGAUAUCACAUCUCUUUAGGCUGAACCAGCAUAUACCUUACAUGUAUUGAUUUGUGUUUUUGCCUGUAACUUCUGUUUCCCAAAAUGCAUAAAACCGAACUGUAAGCUGACUGCCUCAGGCACACCUUCUCAAAACCUCUGGAGACUGUUCCCCAGGCCAUGGUCUGUCAUACUGGGUCAGAAUAAACUUCUUUAAAUAUUUUACUGUGCUUUGUUUUUCCAUUAACAAGCUCAUGGAUUGACUUACAGAUAUACCCACCCAAUUAUCAUGCUAAACUCCUUAUAGAAGUGCCCAGAAUAGAAAUGGUCAUCACCAUCUCUUCACCUGAUAUGUGGCAUCCAGGCCAAAGCCUGCUUUCUCCAUUACAUUCCAUUUCACAUCCUCUAUCCUAUCCUAGGAAGUCUUAGGAUCUGUAUAUUUAUUUAGCACAUAUGAAAUAUUUUUUGUUAAAAAAAUUGUAAAUAAAUCUUUAUAGGCAUAGUAAUUUUCUUUUCUAGUUUUGUUCUCUCGUUUUUAAGGAUCAUUUGCUCAUUGUAAAAACUUUAAGAAUUUAAAAUUUAUGAAAAAACGCAGUUGUGGUUCUCCCCAAAACCAAACCUUGUUAACUUUUUCAUCUGUAUCUUUCUAGUGGGAUAAAAAUAUGUGCGAGCAAAUCAGUGUUUGACCAUAUUUUUAUUACAUAAAA
rnacentral:lncRNA from 1 species